GUGCUCGCUUUGGCAGCACAUAUACUAAAAUUGGAGCUAUACAGAGAAGAUUAGCAUGGCCCCUGCACAAGGAUGACACGCAAAUUCGUGAAGAAAGCUGAGGCACU
rnacentral:snRNA from 1 species